CCGGUCAAACAAGCAACUGAGCGCGCUCUGAGCAAGAAACGUAUAGGCCGUGUGCUUCCAUCUUCUUUUUUAGAAAAGGCGGGAGGGGGGGGGGCGAGCAACGACAGAGGCGCCCCUCGCGCCAUUUUCUGCCGAUCGCCCAAACAAAACAACGAGUGUGUAGUACACGUAUAAUAAACACAAUAAAGGGAGGAGCUCACACACAACAGUGACCUGCGUUAAACUUUAACCACAUUUUCCUCCGCCCCUUGUUCAUUCCACAUUUUUAUGAAAAAUGGAUGUUGACUGUCUGCUAGAACGUGACAGACGCGCGCCAUAGACGAUCGUGUUUUGUUUUUCCGAGUCAGUACCGACAAGAAUCGAAUAAUGCAACAAUAGCAACACGUUUUUUGUUUCUUAACACACACACACUCACACACACCAGCAGGAGGGAAGUCGAAGAAUAAAAAAAGAGCAGCUUUUGAUCCCAAUCAUCCAUCACGCACCCAAUUACUAGCAAACCGGGAAAGUGGAGAAUAAAAGAAAACAACAAAAGCGAUUACAACAGUCAGAGAAACAACAACAACACUAAAGGAGGGAUUUAGUUGCAUUCGAACAAAACAAGUUUUCCACUUUUUUUUUUUUCAUAUUUCUUUUUAUAAAUAUGUUGAGAAUGAAAGAAAAAGAAAAGACCCCGAUGGCGACAAGUUCAAUUUGUGUGCUCCCACAGAGAUAAUACACAUUACUAGCUUUU